CCCUUAGAUGUUCUGGGCCGCACGCGCGCUACACUGUUCGACGCAGCGAGUCUUAACCUUGACCGAAAGGUUUGGGUAAUCUUCAUCAAAGUCGAACGUGAUGGGGAUCGAUCAUUGCAAUUAUUGAUCGUGAACGAGGAAUUCCUAGUAAGUGCAAGUCAUCAGCUUGCGCUGAUUACGUCCCUGCCCUUUGUACACACCGCCCGUCGCUACUACCGAUUGAAUGGUUUAGUGAGAUCUCUGGAUUGACGCUGACUAGGGGGCGACCCUUGGCCAGACUGUUGAGAAACUGCUCAAACUUGAUCAUUUAGAGGAAGUAAAAGUCGUAACA
rnacentral:rRNA from 1 species